rnacentral:rRNA from 1 species
UACGGAGGGGGCUAGCGUUGUUCGGAAUUACUGGGCGUAAAGCGCACGUAGGCGGCUUUGUAAGUUAGAGGUGAAAGCCCGGGGCUCAACUCCGGAAUUGCCUUUAAGACUGCAUCGCUAGAACGUCGGAGAGGUAAGUGGAAUUCCGAGUGUAGAGGUGAAAUUCGUAGAUAUUCGGAAGAACACCAGUGGCGAGGGCGACUUACUGGACGACUGUUGACGCUGAGGUGCGAAAGCGUGGGGAGCAAACAGG